UACGUAGGGAGCAAGCGUUGUUCGGAUUUACUGGGCGUAAAGGGCGCGUAGGCGGCGCGGUAAGUCACUUGUGAAAUCUCUGAGCUUAACUCAGAACGGCCAAGUGAUACUGCAGUGCUAGAGUGCAGAAGGGGCAAUCGGAAUUCUUGGUGUAGCGGUGAAAUGCGUAGAUAUCAAGAGGAACACCUGAGGUGAAGACGGGUUGCUGGGCUGACACUGACGCUGAGUGCGCGAAAGCAUGGGGAGCGAACAGG
rnacentral:rRNA from 1 species